rnacentral:rRNA from 1 species
GAUGAACGCUAGCGGCAGGCUUAAUACAUGCAAGUCGAGGGGCAGCACAGGUAGCAAUACUGGGUGGCGACCGGCAAACGGGUGCGGAACACGUACACAACCUUCCUUUAAGCGGGGAAUAGCCCAGAGAAAUUUGGAUUAAUACCCCAUAGAAUAUUGGUGAGGCAUCUCAUUAAUAUUAAAGAUUUAUCACUUGAAGAUGGGUGUGCGUCUGAUUAGGUAGUUGGCGGGGUAACGGCCCACCAAGCCAUCGAUCAGUAACUGGUGUGAGAGCACGACCAGUCACACGGGCACUGAGACACGGGCCCGACUCCUACGGGAGGCAGCAGUAAGGAAUAUUGGUCAAUGGACGCAAGUCUGAACCAGCCAU